GAUGAACGCUGGCGGCGUGCCUAAUACAUGCAAGUCGAGCGAACAGACGAGGAGCUUGCUCCUCUGACGUUAGCGGCGGACGGGUGAGUAACACGUGGAUAACCUACCUAUAAGACUGGGAUAACUUCGGGAAACCGGAGCUAAUACCGGAUAAUAUAUUGAACCGCAUGGAUCAAUAGUGAAAGACGGUUUUGCUGUCACUUAUAGAUGGAUCCGCGCCGCAUUAGCUAGUUGGUAAGGUAACGGCUUACCAAGGCAACGAUGCGUAGCCGACCUGAGAGGGUGAUCGGCCACACUGGAACUGAGACACGGUCCAGACUCCUACGGGAGGCAGCAGUAGGGAAUCUUCCGCAAUGGGCGAAAGCUUGACGGAGCAACGCCGCGUGAGUGAUGAAGGUCUUCGGAUCGUAAAACUCUGUUAUUAGGGAAGAACAAAUGUGUAAUUAACUAUGCACGUCUUGACGGUACCUAAUCAGAAAGCCACGGCUAACUACGUG
rnacentral:rRNA from 1 species